CAGGGUGCCCGGUUAACUUUGAAUUUCAGGUAAACAAUGAAUAGGUUUUUAGUAUUAGUAUAUCCCAUGGCAUAUUUGGGACAUACUUAUACUAAAAAAAAUGUUUGUUGUUUAUCUGAAAUUCAAAUUUAACCAGGCAUUUC
rnacentral:pre_miRNA from 14 species